rnacentral:rRNA from 1 species
UACGUAGGGUGCGAGCGUUAAUCGGAAUUACUGGGCGUAAAGCGUGCGCAGGCGGUUGGCCGUGUCCGACGUGAAAGCCCCGGGCUUAACCUGGGAAUGGCAUUGGAAACUGGCUGGCUGGAGUGUGGCAGAGGGGGGUGGAAUUCCACGUGUAGCAGUGAAAUGCGUAGAGAUGUGGAGGAACACCGAUGGCGAAGGCAGCCCCCUGGGCCAACACUGACGCUCAGGCACGAAAGCGUGGGGAGCAAACAGG